rnacentral:rRNA from 1 species
GUGGGGAAUAUUCCGCAAUGGACGAAAGUCUGACGGAGCAACGCCGCGUGAGUGAUGAAGGUUUUCGGACUGUAAAGCUCUGUUGUUUAGGACGAAAGUGCCUGUUGCGAACAGUUACAGGUAUUGACGGUACUAAACGAGGAAGCCACGGCUAACUACGUGCCAGCAGCCGCGGUAAUACGUAGGUGGCAAGCGUUGUCCGGAAUUAUUGGGCGUAAAGAGCAUGUAGGCGGAGAUUUAAGUCUGUUGUGAAAAUGCGGGGCUCAACCCCGUAUUGCGAUGGAAACUGAAUUUCUUGAGUGCAGGAGAGGAAAGGGGAAUUCCCAGUGUAGCGGUGAAAUGCGUAGAUAUUGGGAGGAACACCAGUGGCGAAGGCGCCUUUCUGGACUGUGUCUGACGCUGAGAUGCGAAAGCCAGGGUAGCGAACGGGAUUAGAAACCCUGGUAGUCC